UUCCAGCAGAGACAGAUGAUGCGUGAGUGCAUCCUGUUAUCCAGCCAAGGAAGGCUGUGUAUUCUUGUGAGCUGUGAAGUGGUUUUCAGCUCCUCUGCCCCCCAUUCACAUCAUCCUCCAAGUGGCAUGAAGACUGACAUAAUUUCUGGAGACUCUAGCAGCAAUCCUGCAGCAACAGAACUGCAAUUACGGCACAAAUGAUAGUAUUAUCAUGGAAUAAUUCAGUCCAAUCGAAAAUCUGAGAGAAAAACGGGAGAGGUCUCCACAGGAGCAUUGGCUCUAGGAAUCAGGUGUGGUCCUGGAGGUGCCUGAUUCCCAGACCGCCCUGGCACUUCGGCACACAUAAGACGGUCCUAAGCUAUUAAGGGCCUGUUUGAGGAAGCUUCUAACUGCUGCAGUUUCUCCCAGAAUCAAAACCCCCCUCUCUCAAACAGUCCAGUUUUUUUUAGAUUCUGAGAAGUUGUAGCUGUAUAAUAUAGAAAAUGAACUUAGCUGCGAAACCCAAUUUUUCCAUAUUAUCGGAAGCUGGCUAUCAACUAGCUUCUUCUUAAAAUUUUAAGCUCCCCAUGUUAUGUGGGGCAUUCAGUACCAGCGCCAGAACCGUCGCCAGCAGCCAGAGCAGGCGCCAUGAGGAUUGGAUCAAGUUUGUUAUGAUUAGUUUCAGUUGAUUAAGUUUGUUAGGAAGAUUAAGUUUGUUAGUUCCUUGUUAGUAGCUGUUUGGUUUCCAUUGUAAGGCUACAUAGGCCAUUCGGUUUGAGUAAUGAAUCAAGAAAGAAGUAAUCUCAGUUCCUGUUAGUUUCCACCACCCCUCCCGUCGAGCACAGCUACGCGCUGUGCCAUUUAGGGCCGGCGCCUAACACCCCAAAAUAGGCCCUAAGCAUCGUGCCCCUGAGCUUUUCUCUUCACCUGACCACAGGAAGGCAAGCCUUCCUUCUUUUGUCGAUCGCGUCAGAUCACUCCCUGAGGAAGCUGCAUGGUUGUCAUUACAUAUACAGGCAGGCUAUCAAGCACCGAGUUAACCAGAACCCCCUCUUCCUGCAUAAUUCAUGAAAAGAGCUUGCCAUCCCUCCAGGUAGAUAUUAAUUCUCGCAAUCAGUGGUUGUAGUUCAGCAAAAUUCAGUUUGGAGCUGGACAACGGAAGCCCGAGACUAGAGUACACCUGGGGGAAAUUUUUCUACUUUGCAGUGGAGGAUUGCUGCUACUGCUAGAGCUUGAGUUUCAGCACUAUCUUGUGGAAGCCUGGAGUUCCUGCUGUAGCCUGUUAGCCAUUGCUUUGGCUGUGAUCUUGAUGGAGCAAAUCUGUAGCCGGAGGGACUAGCAUAAUAUGAUGAGGAUCAGGUAUUGUGGAAGGGACUGAUGCCGUGAAACCCUAGAGUUGUUGAUUCAAAGAACAAACACAUGAACAUCAUGGUUAGUGAAGCCUGCAUUUCUGAUGUUGAAAUCUGUGCUAAUUGCUGGAUUGACAACUACGAAUGUAUAAACAUCAUUGUCUAAAAAAAAUGAAUGUAUAAACAUCAAACAAGCCAAACUUGUCACUUCAAAACGGGAGUAUACAUAUCAUAUCGCAAAAUAAAUACAGUGCAUAGAUUAUCUCACUUUGUGAUCGAAUUGUCACUGAUAACAGCGGAUGAGCUUCUGAACAUCUGCCAGAGGACCUAAACAUUCUGGUUGCAUGAAGUCCCUUUUCUGGAUUCCAAGAUCCAAAGUUCCAAACCACUGGCAAUCCAAUUUCCAUAUUGAUGAUAUCUAUAUUUUUUUCAAUGAAGAUUUGGUAUCCAUACAACCCUACUUGCAUCGGUAAGCAACAGAACUGCAUGCAAAAGUAAGUUCAGGUUCUAACCCAGUGGAGAAAACAAUUAAACUAAUUCAUGUAAGCAAAGAUGCGAGAGCUGAGGGAAAAGUAAAGAAAACUUAGCCUACGUUUAUCCCAACUCCCAAGUAGUGUCAAUUGAAGGUGGCAUCAGGGAUCAAUUUAUAGUAAAGCGGAGGUCUAUGUAGUCACUUCUUGCCCUAGCAAUAAAACUAUGAACAAGCUGUGGCAUACUUUGAAGCUCAAUUGCUUACCUGACAAAAAGGCAUUAGAGAGCAAUAAGUAAGCCGGCAGAACAUCACAAACCACUAGUAAAAAUACUGUCAAUGCUGCUCACAACAGAAACAGAGGUACCUAGUCACAGAUGGCUUAUAAACCGUAUGUUAUAUAGUCAGAGAUUUUUUUUUUCAUUCUGAACCGUUGACUAUUAUCAGUAACAGAUAUAGUAGGACGCUACACAAAACCAUAUGUGAUGACCCCUCCUCUGCCUGGUGGUGUAUGCAGGCCAAUCAGUGAAAAUAAUACCGCAAGCAGACAGCCUGCAAGCUGGACUCACUGGUUCAGUUCCAGGAAAAUGUUG
rnacentral:lncRNA from 1 species